rnacentral:lncRNA from 1 species
AAAGAGGUAUAGAAGGUGGCAUCAUAUGGUUUAGAAUAAUAGUGUGGUGUAGCAUGUUGUAUUUUUGUGACUUAGAGUUAGGCUUGAUCGCGGAGUAAGGAUUAAGCUAUUUUAGACAUUAGUAGAAAAAUUUGUCAAUGCUCAUAUGAGAAAUUUAAGCUGAAUUGAAUGAAUACCAUAUUUAUAGGGAAUAGUAUAGUUAAGGGAUAUUCGGGAAGUGCGCUAAGCCUAAAAGUAAGAAGUUGUAUUGCCAAAGGUCUGA